GAUGAACGUUGGCGGUGUGCCUAAUACAUGCAAGUCGAACGGUGAUCUUAUGGGAGCUUGCUUCCAUUUGAUUAUAGUGGCGAACGGGUGAGUAACGCGUUGGUGAUCUGCCUCGAAGUGGGGAAUAACGUUCCGAAAGGGACGUUAAUACCGCAUGUGCUCAAGGUUUUUAGAAAGGUUUGAGUAGAGGAUUUAUUCGCUUCGAGAGGAGCCUGCGUCCCAUCAGCUAGUUGGUAAGGUAACGGCUUACCAAGGCUAUGACGGGUAGGGGACCUGAGAGGGUGGCCCCCCACAAUGGAACUGAAACACGGUCCAUACACCUACGGGUGGCAGCAGUAGGGAAUAUUAGAAAUGGGCGAAAGCCUGAUCUAGCGACACCGCGUGUGCGAUGAAGGCCUUCGGGUUGUAAAGCACUUUUUGGAAGGAAUAGGAAGGAAGGUACUUCCAGAAUAAGUCUCGGCUAACUACGUGCCAGCAGCCGCCGUAAAAC
rnacentral:rRNA from 1 species